GACAAACGCUGGCGGCGUGCCUAAUACAUGCAAGUCGAGCGCAGGAAACCGUCUGAACCCUUCGGGGGGACGACGGCGGAAUGAGCGGCGGACGGGUGAGUAACACGUAAAGAACCUGCCCAUAGGUCUGGGAUAACCACGAGAAAUCGGGGCUAAUACCGGAUGUGUCAUCGGACCGCAUGGUCCGCUGAUGAAAGGCGCUCCGGCGUCGCCCAUGGAUGGCUUUGCGGUGCAUUAGCUAGUUGGUGGGGUAACGGCCCACCAAGGCGACGAUGCAUAGCCGACCUGAGGGGGUGAUCGGCCACACUGGGACUGAGACACGGCCCAGACUCCUACGGGAGGCAGCAGUAGGGAAUCUUCCACAAUGGACGAAAGUCUGAUGGAGCAACGCCGCGUGAACGAUGAAGGCUUUCGGGUCGUAAAGUUCUGUUGUAAGGCAAGAACAAGUGCCGCAGGCAAUGGCGGCACCUUGACGGUACCUUGCGAGAAAGCCACGGCUAACUACGUGCCAGCCGCCGCGGUAA
rnacentral:rRNA from 1 species